rnacentral:rRNA from 1 species
CUACGGAGGGUGCAAGCGUUAUCCGGAAUCAUUGGGUUUAAAGGGUCCGUAGGCGGACUAAUAAGUCAGGGGUGAAAUCCCACAGCUUAACUGUGGAACUGCCUUUGAUACUGUUAGUCUUGAGUUAUAUGGAAGUAGAUAGAAUGUGUAGUGUAGCGGUGAAAUGCUUAGAGAUUACACAGAAUACCGAUUGCGAAGGCAGUCUACUACAUAUAUACUGACGCUAAUGGACGAAAGCGUGGGGAGCGAACAGGAUUAGAAACCCUAGUAGUCC